rnacentral:rRNA from 1 species
CCUACGGGAUGCAGCAGUGGGGAAUAUUGCACCAUGGGGGAAACCCUGAUGCAGCGACGCCGCGUGGGUGACGAAGUAUUUCGGUAUGUAAAGCCCUAUCAGCAGGGAAGACAGUGACAGUACCUGACUAAGAAGCACCGGCUAACUACGUGCCAGCCGCCGCGGUAAUCCGUAGGGGGCAAGCGUUCUCCGGAUUUACUGGGUGGAAGGGGAGCGUAGGGGGCAUGGGAAGCCAGAAGUGAAAACCCGGGGCUUAACCCCGCGGAUUGCUUUUGGAACUGUCAGGCUGGAGUGCAGGAGGGGCAGGCGGAAUUCCUGGUGUAGCGGUGAAAUGCGUAGAUAUCAGGAGGAACACCGGUGGCGAAGGCGGCCUGCUGGACUGUAACUGACACUGAGGCUCGAAAGCGUGGGGAGCAAACAGGAUUAGAUACCCGAGUAGUC